rnacentral:rRNA from 1 species
AGAAUCAACGCUGGCGGCGUGCCUCAGACAUGCAAGUCGAACGCGAAAGUCCCCUUCGGGGGAUAAGUAGAGUGGCGCACGGGUGAGUAACACGUAGGUAAUCUACCUUCGGGUGGGGAAUAACAACCGGAAACGGUUGCUAAUACCGCAUAAUGCAGCGGCACCUAAUGGUGACAGUUGUUAAAGCGGGGGAUCGCAAGAUCUCGCGCCUGAAGAGGAGCCUGCGGCGGAUUAGCUAGUUGGUAGGGUAAUGGCCUACCAAGGCGACGAUCCGUAGCCGG